rnacentral:rRNA from 1 species
GAUGAACGCUGGCGGCGUGCUUAACACAUGCAAGUCGAACGGGGGCGGUACAUGCGAGGGAGUAGUUUACUAUGACCAGACAAGUGCCAUCCUAGUGGCGGACGGGUGAGUAACGCGUGGGCAACCUGCCCUGUACAGGGGGAUAACACUUAGAAAUAGGUGCUAAUACCGCAUGAGCGCACAAAGGCGCAUGCCUAUGUGCGGGAAGCCCGCGAGGGCGGUACGGGAUGGGCCCGCGUCUGAUUAGCCAGUUGGCAGGGUAACGGCCUACCAAAGCGACGAUCAGUAGCCGGCCUGAGAGGGUGGACGGCCACAUUGGGACUGAGACACGGCCCAAACUCCUACGGGAGGCAGCAGUGGGGGAUAUUGCACAAUGGGGGAAACCCUGAUGCAGCGACGCCGCGUGAGUGAAGGAGCGUUUCGGCGCGUAAAGCUCUAUCAGCAGGGAAGACAAACUGCCCCGGAAGGGGCAGCCGGA